AUGGAUGUGCCUGCGGCUCCAGCCAUGGCAUUUAAAGCCUACAAGUACAAAGAGGUUCUUGUUAGGGACUACCUGCUGGCAGACUCGUAUGCUCCAUACGCUGCUGUGCUCGGGGGAAUCCUGAUGUGCAAAUUGGCCUACGAUUUCACGCGCAUUAUCAGUUCAUUUAACUUCAAAGGUUAUGCUUCUCUUAACAAUAUGCAGAAGAUCGAAUGGAACAACAGGGGCAUGUCCACUGUCCAUGCAAUAUUCAUUACAGUUAUGUCAAUAUACCUAGUGUUCUUCUCGGGCAUGUUUUCUGACCAGCUGGACGGACCAGUAACAGUUAGGAGUUCAAGCCUCUCCAGUUUUACAUUAGGGGUCUCUAUUGGGUAUUUCAUUACAGACAUUGCCAUGAUAUAUUGGCUUUACCCUGCCCUUGGUGGAAUGGAGUAUGUUAUCCACCACAUGCUGUCACUUAUGUCUACUAUGUACGCUAUGCUUUCUGGGGAAGCGCAUGUAUACAUAUACAUGGGUCUCAUCACUGAGACUACAACGCCAGGAAUCAAUCUAAGAUGGUUCCUUGAUGUUGCUGGAAUGAAGAACUCCAAAGCUUACCUUGUUAACGGAGUUGCAAUGGUUGUUACUUGGCUGGUUGCAAGGAUAAUUCUGUUCAUGUACUUGUUCUAUCACAUGUUUGUACAUUAUGAUCAGAUUAAGAAGAUGAACACCUUCGGCUAUUUUCUGGUACUUAUUGCGCCUUGCAUAAUCUUCGUGAUGAAUGUGCUUUGGUUCUCCAAGAUCCUAAAAGGCCUCAAGAAGACGAUGGCCAAGAGGCAUGCUGAGUAG
rnacentral:rRNA from 1 species